ensembl:lncRNA
CAGAACUUGCACGGUUUGGUUAUGAAAUGAUGUUAUGUAAAGCUAACGACCAGGAUUUAAUCAAGGGUCUUGCACCACAAUUACAGCAGCUGAGGUUUCUGGAGCAGCUUCUAAUGGUCAUUCAAGCAGACUCCUCUAUAAACUAUAGGCAGAACUCAUCCUCUGGUGAUGACAGUGUGAGGAAUGAUGAUCUUCUUCAGGAACUAAUGUUUCAGGAUCACUUAUCAGACCUGGAUAUGCUCCUGAAUCCGGAUUGCAACCCUUGGCCUGCGCAUAUCCGUGAACAUCUAACAGUCAACUCACAACUAAACGAAAGGAAAACAACACAGUAAACCUAGUGAUUUCAUAAACAGGAGUGAUCAACAUUCCCGACUAGGAAGUCAUGGAGAAGAAAGCCUGACAGAGGCCAUGGCACUGCUGCAGUUUACACAGAGCACAUUAGAUGAGCUCCACAAAGAGUGUGAGUUCCUACAGUCACAUUCGUCAGGUUCGGUAGCUGUUCUGUCCCCCUGUGAGCUGAAAGUGGCCAUCUCAGACAUGUCUCCGCUCGUGACGGCUUUCAGACACACCUACAACACAGCCUUUAAGGCAUACUUUCAAAGAGCCCCUCCGGCCCUCAGUUCUGCCGCUAUUGUGUUUGCUGUUAAUUGACUUUUUUGUAUUUAGUAGAACAGUAAAGAUUAUUAGUAUUAUUAUUAUUAUUAUUUUUU